AGGCUCAAGUUAGCUUCUGGGACUUAUGGGCUCAAGCUAUUGAGCAUAUGGAUAUGGUGUAGGUUAAAUGGGUGUUUAUGCAUUGGAAUUGAAUUGGGAUUACUUGGAGGUUUGUUGGUGACCAAGGCUUGUUUUGGGGCUGUUUGAUUGAGGUUGGAGGGGCUGUAAUUUUGAGUUGUGAGGCUGCCUUUGGUGAACUAAGUGAUCGGCCAAGAUGCACAUCGAGAGGCUCCUCGCUAGUUGUCUGGAUCCUGGAAAGCGAAGUAGUCCUUUGGUGUAUUUUAGUUUCCUGUUGUAUAUAUGUAUUUAGCUUACUCUCCAAGUAACUUAUGUAUGCUGCUCC